UACAGAGGGUGCGAGCGUUAAUCGGAUUUACUGGGCGUAAAGCGUGCGUAGGCGGCUUUUUAAGUCGGAUGUGAAAUCCCUGAGCUUAACUUAGGAAUUGCAUUCGAUACUGGGAAGCUAGAGUAUGGGAGAGGAUGGUAGAAUUCCAGGUGUAGCGGUGAAAUGCGUAGAGAUCCGGAGGAAUACCGAUGGCGAAGGCAGCCAUCUGGCCUAAUACUGACGCUGAGGUACGAAAGCAUGGGGAGCAAACAGGAUUAGAUACCCUGGUAGUC
rnacentral:rRNA from 1 species